rnacentral:rRNA from 1 species
UUGCCUACGGGACGCAGCAGUGGGGGAUAUUGCACAAUGGGGGGAACCCUGAUGCAGCGACGCCGCGUGAGGGAAGACGGUCUUCGGAUUGUAAACCUCUGUCUUUGGGGAAGAAAAUGACGGUACCCAAAGAGGAAGCUCCGGCUAACUACGUGCCAGCAGCCGCGGUAAUACGUAGGGAGCGAGCGUUGUCCGGAAUUACUGGGUGUAAAGGGAGCGUAGGCGGGCGAGAAAGUUGAAUGUUAAAUCUACCGGCUUAACUGGUAGCUGCGUUCAAAACUUCUUGUCUUGAGUGUAGUAGAGGG